rnacentral:rRNA from 1 species
UCCGUAGUCGAAAGGGAAACAGCCCAGACCACCAGCUAAGGUCCCAAAAUAUAUGUUAAGUGGAAAAGGAUGUGGGGUUGCACAGACAACUAGGAUGUUAGCUUAGAAGCAGCUAUUCAUUCAAAGAGUGCGUAAUAGCUCACUAGUCGAGUGACCCUGCGCCGAAAAUGUACCGGGGCUAAAACAAUUUACCGAAGCUGUGGAUACCUUUAUAGGUAUGGUAGGAGAGCGUUCUAUGUGCGAAGAAGGUGUACCGUGAGGAGUGCUGGAGCGCAUAGAAGUGAGAAUGCCGGUAUGAGUAGCGAAAGACAGGUGAGAAUCCUGUCCACCGUAAGACUAAGGUUUCCAGGGGAAGGCUCGUCCGCCCUGGGUUAGUCGGGACCUAAGGAGAGACCGAAAGGUGUAUCCGAUGGACAACAGGUUGAUAUUCCUGUACUAGAGUAUAUAGUGAUGGAGGGACGCAGUAGGCUAACUAAACCAGACGAUUGGAAGUGUCUGGCCAAGCAGUGAGGUGUGAUAUGAGUCAAAUGCUUAUAUCUCUAACAUUGAGCUGUGAUGGGGAGCGAAGUUUAGUAGCGAAGUUAGUGAUGUCACACUGCCAAGAAAAGCUUCUAGCGAUACAUAUACUCUACCCGUACCGCAAACCGACACAGGUAGUCGAGGCGAGUAGCCUCAGGUGAGCGAGAGAACUCUCGUUAAGGAACUCGGCAAAAUGGCCCCGUAACUUCGGGAGAAGGGGCGCUGACUGAUAGUCAGCCGCAGUGAAUAGGCCCAAGCAACUGUUUAUCAAAAACACAGCUCUCUGCUAAAUCGUAAGAUGAUGUAUAGGGGGUGACGCCUGCCCGGUGCUGGAAGGUUAAGAGGAGUGCUUAGCGUAAGCGAAGGUAUGAAUUGAAGCCCCAGUAAACGGCGGCCGUAACUAUAACGGUCCUAAGGUAGCGAAAUUCCUUGUCGGGUAAGUUCCGACCCGCACGAAAGGCGUAAUGAUUUGGGCACUGUCUCAACGAGAGACUCGGUGAAAUUUUAGUACCUGUGAAGAUGCAGGUUACCCGCGACAGGACGGA